AGGGUGAAAGAAGAAGAACUAAAGCGGCUGUGGAGCCACCUAGUGCAACAAGCAUAACAUUAGUUAACAAACAACAUUCUUUGGGAAAAGGCUGCGCGCUCUCGAGAUGGAUUUUAUUCUCAUUUGGACCGACUGACGCAUAUCGGUGUGAGAGUGGACCGAGAUGAUGACAGGUCCCAAGCUGGAACCAUUACCGAGGAGUGUCAGGCACAACACAGCCCACCAUCAUCAGUUCCUUCUGAGGAAGGCUCUGAGGCUUCUGAGCAGGACGACGACCCAGACCCAGAGCAACCAGAGCCUGAAGAUGUGCUUCCCUGAUUGUAGUAGGGAAAACAGUUUGUAUGCUGGGUGAGUGGGAUCUUUGAUCUGUGUUUCUGUUAUCAGAGAGUUGAAGAAUGCACCAUAUUCAUUUUGUGCAUAAAUAAACUACAAAUUGUACUCAAAAUUG